rnacentral:lncRNA from 1 species
GCUAGUUUAUUUUCCGUGUAUAGGUUAUUAUCUCGCGUUUACCGUGUGGUAAUAUUUUUGUGUUGCAACCCCACAUGUUUUAUGUGUUUUCGGGGUAGAAAAGUCCAUAGGAGUUUUCUGUGCAAUUAGUUUUAGCUUUUGAGCAAGUUAGUUCGCGCGAUAUUUUGUCGUGUUGCCCUCUUGUCUAUUUCGUAGGAUUUAUUCUGUGCUUCGUUUGAUUAAGUUGUCAACUAGGGAGUUGUUCUUUGAUGUUUA